GAUUUCUGGUUCGGCGCACUUGGCCCGUCUCGGUUUACGGGAUUGCGUGCCGGUGUGCGCCAUCCAUCCUUCGAUGAGAACAUGGCUGCCCUUUACUGGGUGUGCUAUGCCUCUCUCGAUCUUUUGCUUUGAAAAAAUUAGAGUGUUUAAAGCAGGCUUGCGCUAUGAUACAUUAGCAUGGAAUAAUAAUUUAGGACUUUGGUCUUAUUUUGUUGGUUUCUAGGACUAAAGUAAUGAUUGAUAGGGACAGUUGGGGGUGCUAGUAUUCAGCGGCCAGAGGUGAAAUUCUUGGAUUCGCUGAAGACUAACUUAUGCGAAAGCAUU
rnacentral:rRNA from 1 species